rnacentral:rRNA from 1 species
UCUACGGGUGGCAGCAGUGAGGAAUAUUGGUCAAUGGCCGAGAGGCUGAACCAGCCAAGUCGCGUGAGGGAAGACGGCCCUACGGGUUGUAAACCUCUUUUGCCGGGGAGCAAAGCGAGUCACGUGUGACUCCUUGAGAGUACCCGGAGAAAAAGCAUCGGCUAACUCCGUGCCAGCAGCCGCGGUAAUACGGAGGGUGCAAGUGUUAUCCGGAUUUACUGGGUGUAAAGGGAGCGUAGACGGCAGCGCAAGUCUGGUGUGAAAUGCCGGGGCUUAACCCCGGACCAGCGUUGGAACCUGGGCGGCUAGAGUGCAGGGGAGGGAGGUGGAAUGCGUGGUGUAGCGGUGAAAUGCGUAGAUAUUAGGAGGAACACCAGUGGCGAAGGCAGCUUACUGGACUGUAACUGACGUUGAGGCACGAAAGCGUGGGGAGCGAACAGGAUUAGAUACGCCAGUAGUC